rnacentral:rRNA from 1 species
UGUAGUCUCGCACAGAUGCAUAUCAAUAAGCGGAGGAAAAGAAACUAACAAGGAUUCCCCUAGUAACGGCGAGUGAAGCGGGAAGAGCUCAAAUUUGAAAUCUUAAAGGGUUUCCCUUUACGAAUUGUAGUUUAAAGAAGUGUUUUCUGUUGAGGUUUUGGUAAAAGUUCUUUGGAAUAGGACAUCAUAGAGGGUGAGAAUCCCGUAUUUGACCUUUACUUUCAACUUUGUGAUACACUUUCAAAGAGUCGGAUUGUUUGGGAAUGCAGUCCAAAAUGGGUGGUAAAUUUCAUCUAAAGCUAAAUAUUGGCGAGAGACCGAUAGCGAACAAGUACCGUGAGGGAAAGAUGAAAAGAACUUUGAAAAGAGAGUUAAACAGUACGUGAAAUUGUCAAAAGGGAAGCGUUUGACACCAGUGUUGUUUUUCUGAAAAUCAAUUAAAGAACUGUUUAUGCUAAGUUGUUUAGACUUUAUCAGCUAACUGUUUAGUUUUGAGCUUUUCUUUAAUGCACUUUUCAGUUAACAAGUCAACAUCAAUUUCUUUUGCUGUAAAAAAGCUUGAGGAAGGUGGCUUGAGAUUCGUCUUAAGUGUUUAUAGCCUCUUGCCUAUGCAGUCGGAGAGAUUGAGGUCUGCAGCGUAGAUCCUUCGGGGCUAAAUGCAUUUGUGCUAAGUUAUAAGCAUUUUAUAGACAACUUGUUGACUAUGAUUUGUCUUGUAGCUUACUCGCUUAUGUUAUUUUACCUACGCUUAGGAUGUUGACGCAUGAGAUAUACGC